ensembl:piRNA 21ur-11421 ncRNA
UUCUUUGCAUUCUUCGCAAGA